rnacentral:lncRNA from 10 species
UUUGUUUACAGAUUUAUUGAGCACUGUGGUCAGCAGCCUGAAGAUGGCCCCCAGUCAUCUCCACCUCCCAGAAUUCACAUCCUUGUGCAAUCUCCUUUCCUUGAAUGUGUGCUGGACCUAAUGACUCACUUCUAGCAAAUAGAAUACAACAAAAGUGACAAAAUGUCACUUUUGAGAUUAGGUUACAAGAGGACUGGGACUUCCACCUCACUCUUUCUCAGACUUCACUCUGGGGAAAUCCAGCUGCUGUGUUUUGAGAAAUAUUAUGGAGAAACUUCUGCGGCAAGGAAAUAAUAUCUUCAGUCAACAGUCAGCAAGGAUCCUAACGUCUGCCAGCACCAUGUGAUUGAGCUGGAAAGUCGAUUUUCUGAGGACUGCCAACAGCCACCCAAGUGAGCUGGGAAACAGAUCCCCCUGCAGUUGACCCUUGAGGUGACUGUAGCCUGACAGACACCUUGAUUACAGCUUUGUGAGAGAUCUGCACCCUAAUCACCCAACUAAGCUGCACCUGUACCUGAAUUUCUGACUCAGAGAAACUGCUGCAGUCAAUGGCGUGAUCUCCGCUCACUGCAGCCUUGACCUCCUGGGCUCAAGCAAUCCUACCACCUCAGCCCCUCAAGUAGCUAGGACUACAGGUG